GGCUUUAGACCAUCAUCGAGUGUCUGAAAUUGUCUUGUACUCUCCUCGCCACCUCCGGGUCCAGCUAAAUCUUCAUUCACAAUCCCAAGGAAACUCAUGGCUCGAGGAUCAAAAAGUUUGAAGAUUAUGGAGCUACUAGAAGCUCAUACUUCUUCACAUCAUGAAUCAACUGGGCAAGAAAAUGAUGCUAGUACACAAGAAAAACAGUCCCGACAUAGAGGAAAGACAGUAAUGGCAAAUGUCUGGACAUCAAUGGAAAAAUUUAUAAUUAAAGUAGAUAAAUAUGGAGUCCCCUGCACCAAAGAUGCUGCCACACUAAGUUCUUUCCUUGGUGUGCUUGCAAAGAAUGGCGCGUAUGCUCCAAUUAACAUUCCUAAUUGGAGACAUGAAGAUUUUACUCCAUACAAAGCGAAAUGUCUAAAACUCCUAAUGACAAAAUUUGAUUUUCCUCAUACACAAGAGACGGUUACAUGGAUUUUGCAAAAUCUAAACAAGAGAUGGCGAGAUUGGAAAGGUGACUUGAAGGCCGAAUUUUACAUUCCAAAAGAAAAAGAACGAGUUUUAG